GCCAGCAUGGUGCAGUGGUUUGAACGUUGGACUGUGACUUUGGAGACCAGGGUUCAAAUCCUUGCUCAGCUA